GCCUGGGUGGCUCAGUCGGUUGGGCAUCUGACUUUGGCUCAGGUCGUGAUCUCACGGUGCGUGGGUUCGAGCCCCGCGUCGGGCU
rnacentral:tRNA from 1 species